rnacentral:rRNA from 1 species
UACACGCUGUGACUAGCAUAUCAAUAAGCGGAGGAAAAGAAACUAACAAGGAUUCCCCUAGUAACGGCGAGUGAAGCGGGAAGAGCUCAAAUUUGAAAUCUUAAAGGGUUUCCCUUUACGAAUUGUAGUUUAAAGAAGUGUUUUCUGUUGAGGUUUUGGUAAAAGUUCUUUGGAAUAGGACAUCAUAGAGGGUGAGAAUCCCGUAUUUGACCUCUACUUUCAACUUUGUGAUACACUUUCAAAGAGUCGGAUUGCUUGGGAAUGCAGUCCAAAAUGGGUGGUAAAUUUCAUCUAAAGCCAAAUAUUGGCGAGAGACCGAUAGCGAACAAGUACCGUGAGGGAAAGAUGAAAAGAACUUUGAAAAGAGAGUUAAACAGUACGUGAAAUUGUCAAAAGGGAAGCGUUUGACACCAGUGUUGUUUUUCUGAAAAUCAAUUAAAGAACUGUUUAUGCUAAGUUGUUUAGACUUUAUCAGCUAACUGUUUAGUUUUGAGCUUUUCUUUAAUGCACUUUUCAGUUAACAAGUCAACAUCAAUUUCUUUUGCUGUAAAAAAGCUUGAGGAAGGUGGCUUGAGAUUCGUCUUAAGUGUUUAUAGCCUCUUGCCUAUGCAGUCGGAGAGAUUGAGGUCUGCAGCGUAGAUCCUUCGGGGCUAAAUGCAUUUGUGCUAAGUUAUAGCAUUUUAUAGACAACUUGUUGACUAUGAUUUGUCUUGUAGCUUACUCGCUUAUGUUAUUUUACCUACGCUUAGGAUGUUGAAGUCAUCGUAUCGCGC